GCCGGAGUGGCGGAAUGGCAGACGCGCUAGACUCAAAAUCUGGUGUCCUUACGGGCGUGAGGGUUCGAGUCCCUCCUCCGGUACCA
rnacentral:tRNA from 1 species